UGGGGAAUAUUGCACAAUGGGCGCAAGCCUGAUGCAGCCAUGCCGCGCGUGUGAAGAAGGCCUUCGGGUUGUAAAGCACUUUCAGCGAGGAGGAAGGGUGGUGUGUUAAUAGCACAUUGCAUUGACGUUACUCGCAGAAGAAGCACCGGCUAACUCCGUGCCAGCAGCCGCGGUAAUACGGAGGGUGCAAGCGUUAAUCGGAAUUACUGGGCGUAAAGCGCACGCAGGCGGUUUGUUAAGUCAGAUGUGAAAUCCCUGCGCUUAACGUGGGAACUGCAUUUGAAACUGGCAAGCUAGAGUCUUGUAGAGGGGGGUAGAAUUCCAGGUGUAGCGGUGAAAUGCGUAGAGAUCUGGAGGAAUACCGGUGGCGAAGGCGGCCCCCUGGACAAAGACUGACGCUCAGGUGCGAAAGCGUGGGGAGCAAACA
rnacentral:rRNA from 1 species